rnacentral:misc_RNA from 1 species
ACAAACUUGGUCAUUUAGAGGAAGUAAAAGUCGUAACAAGGUUUCCGUAGGUGAACCUGCGGAAGGAUCAUUACCGAGUGCGGGCCCUCUGGGUCCAACCUCCCACCCGUGUCUACUGUACCGUGUUGCUUCGGCGGGCCCGCCGUCCAGGCCGCCGGGGGGCAUCUCGCCCCCGGGCCCGCGCCCGCCGAAGACCCCACUGAACGCUGUCUGAAGUAUGCAGUCUGAGUACCAAUGCAAAUCGGUUAAAACUUUCAACAACGGAUCUCUUGGUUCCGGCAUCGAUGAAGAACGCAGC